UUGCAUCAUUAAAUCCGGCUUUCUUUCGAUCUAAACAAGCACAGAUUCAACAAUAAUGGAGGGGAAAAUAUAUUUGUAAAUCAAGCCAUGGAGAAGAAGAAGCUAUCUUUCUUCAUUCUUAAACAAACUCUCUUUGAAAAAAUAUCAAGUUCUAGCUUCUACCCAUAAACUUUCCAUUCAAUAUAAUGCUAAAAAUAAAAAUGAAAAACUAACCUAAAAAAAAAACCAAUCAAUCUAUCUCUCUCUCCACCACAUCUAUCUCUCUCCCCCCACGAUUUUCUCUCUCUAGCUCCAUCUUCUUCUCACAUGAAUCUAC
rnacentral:lncRNA from 1 species